rnacentral:pre_miRNA from 1 species
GUGUAGCCGUAGUCCGUAUGAGUCUUUGUCUUUGUAUCUUCGAACAAGGAUAUAAUACUUAGGCUUUUAAGAUCCAGUUGCGG